GACCCCGCACAAGCGGUGGAUCAUGUUGUUUAAUUCGAAGAUACGCGAAAAACCUUACCAGGUCUUGACAUCCCUUGCAAUGCUGUAGAGAUACAGUGGAGGUUAUCAAGGAGACAGGUGGUGCAUGGUUGUCGUCAGCUCGUGUCGUGAGAUGUUGGGUUAAGUCCCGCAACGAGCGCAACCCUUAUUGCUAGUUGCCAUCAUUUAGUUGGGGACUCUAGCGAGACUGCCAGUGAUAAACUGGAGGAAGGUGGGGAUGACGUUAAAUCAUCAUGCCCCUUAUGACCUGGGCUACAAACGUGAUACAAUGGCUAUUACAGAGGGCCGCAAAGCUGUGAAGUGAAGCUAAACCCUUAAAAAUAGUCUCAGUUCGGAUUGAAGUCUGCAACUCGACUUCAUGAAGCCGGAAUCGCUAGUAAUCGCAAAU
rnacentral:rRNA from 1 species